rnacentral:tRNA from 2 species
GGGCCCAUGGCGCAGCUGGUAGCGCACCUGCAUGGCAUGCAGGGGGUCGCGGGUUCGAGUCCCGCUGGGUCCA